rnacentral:rRNA from 1 species
AUUGAACGCUGGCGGCAUGCUUUACACAUGCAAGUCGAACGGUAACAGGCCUUCGGGUGCUGACGAGUGGCGAACGGGUGAGUAAUGCAUCGGAACGUACCCAGAGGUGGGGGAUAACGCAGCGAAAGCUGUGCUAAUACCGCAUGUGAUCUGAGGCUGACAGCGGGGGACCGAGCAGCAAUGUUUGGCCUCGCGCCUUUGGAGCGGCCGAUGUCGGAUUAGCUAGUUGGUGGGGUAAAGGCCUACCAAGGCGACGAUCCGUAGCUGGUCUGAGAGGACGACCAGCCACACUGGGACUGAGACACGGCCCAGACUCCUACGGGAGGCAGCAGUGGGGAAUUUUGGACGAUGGGCGCAAGCCUGAUCCAGCAAUGCCGCGUGCGGGAAGAAGGCCUUCGGGUUGUAAACCGCUUUUGGCAGGAACGAAACGGUGUCCGCUAAUACCGGGCGCUAAUGACGGUACCUGCAGAAUAAGCACCGGCUAACUACGUG